rnacentral:lncRNA from 1 species
UGCAGUGGCUCGAUACUGGCUCACUGUAGUCUUGACCUCCUGGGCUCAAGUGAUCCACCUCACCCUCCUAAGUAGUGGGACAAUAGGCGCUGUUGCAGUAAGCUUUUGGGAGAGACGAGGUCUUGCUGCUGUGUUGCCCAGGCUGGUCUUGAACUCCUGGCCUCAAGCAAUCCUCCUGCUGUAGCCUCCCAAAGUGUUGGGAUUACAGAUGUGAGCCACUUGCCUGGCCCAGAGUACUUAUUGAUAAUGCUAAAUGUAUUGGUCUAUUGGGCUGACUUCCUCAGGAAUAGUCUCUAGUGACUCCUGAGCCAAACCUCUUCUGAUUGCAAGCUCCAGAAAUUCAUUAAAUCCAGCUGAUACACAAAGGGAGAUUUUUCAGAACCUGAGCGAAGCUGGGCCUCACAAGGACUGCCUUCGAGUCCAAGGUACCUGUCCUUUCUGUCACUCUCUUGAUUAUGCAGCUGUUUAAUUCUGUCUCUGCAGACCAGCUUUCUCUGUUUCUCAUUGGAUUUGGAAGGAAAUUGUUGUCCAGCUGCUGGCAACAUGCCCUUAAUUCCAGGAGAGAGAGAAUGUUAUUGUCCCAUUUGGGUGAGGUGUCCUCCACUGGGCCAGUCAGCUGUUUGGUGCCAGGCUGUGGGGGCAGAUGCAGGGAAGGAGUGCAGGCUGCCCUAUUCUUGGAUGUUAAUUGACGGUGCAGAAUCUUUCGCUUUAUUCUCAGAGUUAGGAUUAUGCCUUCUAAGCACGUUACUCUGAACCCUUGCCAGGUUGGUUUGUUUACUCAGAGGAAGACCCUCCUCCCUCUCACCGGCUCGUCUCUUCUCAGUGCUGUCUGGAUGAGAUGCUGUUAAUACAGGGUCCUUCCCUCUACUCACCUCCUCCAGGCCAUGCAGUUAGGCCACGGUGCUGAUGCAUAUAACCUACAGCAAGCGAGCAUGGCAGCUGGCUGCACGGACUCCGGAGGCGGGAGUACCUGGCUUCAACUCGUAACUCAGCCAGUCGGCUUCUGUGUACCUCAAGUUUCUUCAUCUGUGAAAUGGAGAUAAUCGAAUUUAGUAUUUUGAAAAGAUUGAGUUAAUACAUGUUAAACACAUGAA